AGCGACUAGCGUGAAUCAUCGAAUCUUUGAACGCACCUUGCACUUUAAGAGUCGAUCUUAAAGUAUACCUGUUUGAGUAUCAUAAACAUUUAUCCAAUUUAUUGGGAUUUGAUGGUUCAAUUGCUCCGGCGAUUGUCUGUUUAAAUGUAGUAGGGAAUCGAGGAUAAGCGCGCUUAUUUCUUGAAUGAGGAUAUUUACUCUUGCAGUAAAGUAAUCAUGAAAGAGUAGGAGGCGGAUCAUUGAGACUCUUAACCUCUCUUCGGAGAACUUUGUACAAAAUGUGAUCUCAAAUCAGGCAAGACUACCCGCUGAACUUAAGCAUAUCAAUAAGCGGAGG
rnacentral:rRNA from 1 species